GCGUGAGCGCAGGAGGACCUCGUACCUAUAUACUGUCUAUGCCUCGUACAUGUAGGCAGAUAUCUAUGGGUAUACCACAGAUAGAGAAGCUAUCACCUAGCUAGCUAAGAAAAAAAGCUUAAAAAGUAAUGCAAAUGUUGUCAUGGAUAUUGGAAAACUGCUAAAACAAACAAACAAACAAAAUACAAAGGUAGACCAAAAGGCUUUAGCUAGCACACUCAGAGACUCCUACUGAAACAGAAAGCGGCUAAGCAGGUGCAGCAAAAACCGCGCUUGCCGCCACGCUAAUGUUAGCCUCGAACUUCUCAUGCUCUGAGCUAGCUACAUCACUCCUUUUUACUUAGCUAGGGAGUUUUAUUCGGUGGAGAAACGUCGCCUGCCCCCUUAAAGAACUUGAAGGAGCAGCAUGGAUGAUUGGCAGAGAUAAGGCAAACAUGGCCCAUUGGAUGCUAUAGGUGGCUUGAAGAGCUACAUCACCUGUCUGUGCUUUCAUGAAGUAUAACAAGCCUGCAAUCAUGUUUUACAGGAGACGGCUCAGACGAGCAGGUGAUGCAUUGACAGAGAGCAGAUGGUUCCCUGUGGAGAGUCCCAUUUAUGUGUCUUUUGUCAGCAAAGCCAUCUUGUGGGAUAGAGGACUCUGCCACUACACUGCCCAUGAUCGUCCAAAUCAUCGUCCCUUAUUGUGUCCACGGUUCUUGUCUCACAUGAAAGUUCGUCCUGAGGACCUCAGACCUCCUUGUUUCCUGAGCUCCAAGUCCAGGCCACAGCCUCCAUCUCAGGGGAAGACACCGAAAACGCACACUCUCACUGCCCCAAAGACACAAACGUCAGAGGGUUACUUCUAUCUCAAUCCAGACAGAAGAAAAAAUGGUUUGCAGAUCGCAGGAAGGCACUCUGCUGCUGUUGUUCCCUGUAUUCUACUACCUGCCGCUCCACCAUCAUCCACCAUUAAUCCAACACCUCCCUACCAAAACACCCCUCAGCCUGACUGUGAGAGACAACAAAGCAAGCUGAACACUGUGCUAGCAUCUCCCUCCCACCCUAAUCUUGCUCCAGGGGAAAAAGAUGAAGGUCAGGAGAGGGAGAGAGUAAAACAACCUGCUGUGGUGUCCAUCACAGAGUCGGAUUGGAAGAUGCAUCUUGGGCCUGCUGGACCAGAACACUCACCGCCACCAGCCUCCACGAUCUCACACGGGUCUCUUUCAGAUUUAAGCCGCCCACCGUCCAGUCUGUUCAGCCGCAGCACUGACCUCGCCAGUGGCAGGAGCAGUGUCCUGUCUGGGGCAGAAAUGAAGGACUCUGACCCAGAAGGCAUCAGUUGUUUCUCGCCGCUCCAGCCUUGUCCAGUGAUGAAGUCACCUUUUGCUUCUUACCCUCCAGCUGGAUCCAACCCUCACCAAUCAUCCACGAAUGCUACGACCACCCCUCCACUCUACGAACCGCUAUUUGGCCAAACCAAACCCCUUUCACCUCGUCCAAAGUCAAUUGUCCUUUCUAAGUCAGAUAAACCGUUGAGCAGGCGUGAAAGCACAAAAACAACAGAGAAUCUCCACCAAGAUGCAUCUAUAGAUCCUGAUCUCCACCCAUCCUUGGACUCUGAUCAUGGCCUAAAUACCCUGGCUUUCCCCUCCGCUACUUGGUCUUCCUGCCCGAGUCCACAGAUGACCACUCCUAGCUCAGGGUCAGGACCAAAGCUGACCCCUUCUGCAUCAGUGAGUCAGCUUGAGUCUCAUCGCUGGCCCGUCCUGCCUCCUAUCUCACCUGUCAGAGGACGCUGUGGCUCAGCAGCAUCACGCUACUCAGAGCUCAGCUGCAGUCGGUCUCAUGUGUUUGAUGAACUGGAGGCCAUCGCUCCUCGGUCCAUGUCUUAUACGUCUCUGGACCAGCCAUCAGACUCAUCCGGUCGCCCUUCACCCAACAUAGAGCUGUCUCCUGGCCUGGCAGUGCUGACGGUGGGCUGUGACUCCGGGAAUCUGGGCUCCCUGUCCCGGGUCCAGCUGCUCCUCCUGGACCGACCGGAGCCCGAGAUCCUGCUGAGUCCCUUCAGUCAGGAAGAGGAGCUCUCGCCGGUGCAGGACUGGUCCGUUCUCAGGAUGCAGCAUGAUCCAGGAUUGACUUCAGCAGGUGUUUUGAGGCCCCUCACAGCUGGCAGCAUCUCCGAAAGGUGUGACUCUGCAGGGAAAGUCCAGGAAAACAAAUCGGAUCAGUCUGAAGGAGGUUCUGGGUCACCAUCUUCAUGGAUCAUAGACCUGAGUCCAUCAUGCAACAUGUUCAGAUCCACCAAUUCUCCCUGUGAGUCCAAUCACGGUUCCAACACAGAUAAAGGAGCCCCCACAGAGGAGGAGGCCAUUUAUCCGGAAUGGAAAGAAGUCGAGUCCUCAGCUGGAGGGAGGAGGCCCGGGAGUCUCGACCAAAAACUUGAAGAGAAGGAGAGAAGGAUGGAGGAGAGGAAAACAAAGGUGCUGAACAUACUUUCCAAACUGCAGGAUGCCACACCUCGUCAGCCAAAAAGCAACAAAGGGCACUCCAACUUUGAGGACUUCGACUUUUUGGCAAAGUUUUGCAUUUUCAGUCAGGAGAAGCUGGCUGAGUACAAAAGAGCUUUUGAAACAGAGGACGAUGAUGGUGACGGCUACAUCUCCUGCCUUCAGGUUCUACUUGCUCUUAAAAACAUCAUCCCUCCAGACCUGCUGUCUGACGAAGAAGAGAUCUACGUGUACAGGAUCCUGGAGAUGGUGGACUUCAGAGUGACAGAUGGGCUUGUGGAUCUGAGGCUCUUUGCUGUGAUUGCUAGUCUGGCACAGAAAAUAGCCACCAUGGAUGAGUUUAUGCGAUCACUAAUCACCAACAUGGACUUCCGCUCGUUAGAAGUGAGGCUCUUCAAAGCAAAGCAACUGUUCCUGUUCCUCAUGGAGGAGCAGCGAGGAGAUGCUGGAGCUCAACGGGGCUUCAUCAGUGCAGAGCAGCUUCUGUUGGAGCUAAAGGCUGGGGGAAUCCAUCUGGAGCAGGAGGCGGCCAUCAGACUGGAGCUGCAGCACAUUCCCCCCCUGGACCUGCUGGACUUCCUGGCCUACCUGCCCCUCUUCAUACUCAUUCACAAGUCGGUCAUCUCCAAUCCUCUCGAUGACUCCAGCCACCUUUGACCUCAGUCACUGCACCGUCUGCCCUGCGUGGCUCAGAAGCUUGGAUUCCCACGCUGUCAGGAGACCCGUCUUCCUUUAAUCCUUUGGCGCUGAUCUCCGGCCGGAUUUUGCCCAAAUUCUUGGGGACGUUAAGGCCGUGUCUGUCUUUCUGUCUGUCUGGGAGGACCGGGCGUUUAAGGACAGUGCGUCUUGUUCUUGAGGACACCCAGCCGCCUCCGGGACCAUCCCAGGCACGCGUACUCCAACAGGAAAAACCAGUUGGUGAAGUCUAGCAGUUCCUGCUCCUCUGGACUGAGAGGAUCGUAGGAGCCCUCGUCGGAGGAGUACGAGGACACCGGUGAACCCGCCAUGGAGUUCAUGUCAGCGGAGUAUCCCUGCGACAUGGUGGGCGACAGGACGCCGGACUGAAAC